ensembl:lncRNA
CAAGAAUGAAUCAGAAAUGCAGCUAUUUGCUUCAAUAGCCUUUUAUUUUUUUUCUAUAUCUUUACAUAUAGUAAUUUUCUUCUACCCCCAAGCCAAUAGACUGCUGAACAAUUCAUAAAAAUAGCCACCUCCCUGUACAAAAUAGCCCCUCCCUGUACACUGCUCCUACUCUGUGUUUGUUUGUUACCUACACUGACUCGGUACCGGUGCUCCUUGUAUAUUGCCUCGUUAUUGUUACUUUUGAUUAUUUAUUUUAAUUUUAGCCUACUUGGUUAAACUUUUUAUUUUUCUUGAUGUGCACUGUUGGUUAAGGGAUAGUAAGUCAGCAUUUCACGGUAAAGGCUACACUUGUUGUAUUUGGCGCAUGUGGCAAAUAAAGUUUGAUUUGAGCUCUGCUGCGCUGUAUCAGCACAAUGAACAGCAUGCUACAGAAAGGCCGUUUUGGUUAUAUACAAGAUAGAUAGAUAUACAAGAUAGAUAGGGCAAUUCACCUAUUACAAAUAGUUUUUGUGAAUGCAGCCACGCACACAGCUGUCUUACCAAAAUAAUGCAAACUAAAUGCUGAAAGUGAUAGCCUAGUUAUUCAUGCCUGCAACAAAAAAACAGAAUAGCAGUUUGGCUUAGAAUACAGACACAACUGCGAACAGAACAAAACAAUGGUACAAAGUAGUAGGUCUAUUAAACAAAAUAUCAGUUCAAUAAAGUUAGGAGUACAUAAACUAAAGGUGAAUGGAGAUCCAAAUAACCAAAACGCAGCCUACUACGGUGAGAUGCAUUCAUGCACAGCUGUCUUCCCAAAUAAAUACACCUAUACAGGCCCGCUUCAAACAUGGAAAAUCAUGCCCCUAGCUCAUGAGUUCAACAUAAACACUUUUCCAAUACGUAAAGUAACAUCUACAGCAACGAAAAAAAAUAGUAGAAUGUAUAUUUGUCCAUGAUGAAACAUCCUGAUAUGUGGUUCCUCCUUUAAAAGUUGUCAUACUGCGGUACACCUUGCGUGCUGCUCCGGCAUUCUGUGGCACGUCAUUCAAUUCUCAGCCAUUCUUUCUGUUACUGCACGUUAUUGCUAGUUUGACCACCAGAGGGCAUAUUUGAGAAGCAUUUGAUAGUAUUCCGUAUUGGCAUUACCAGAGAAUUUCAAACCUUUCUUGUAAUAACAUAGUAUAUGGGAUUGAUUUUAAGAAAUUUGGCCAAAUUAAUUUGAUUCAUAUUAUGGUGUUUCCAUUCAGAGAAAGAAGAAAAACGAAACCCUAAGGGUUUCUGUUAGGAUGGAAUGGAAAAUACGGCGCUGUCGGCAGUAGGCUACAGGAUUGGAGGAUUCUAAAUGGUUUGCCUUCAUUAGACAACUUUGUUCCAAUAUUUCUGUAAAUCAGUUAUAUUUAUUCCCAUGGUAAUUCGUUAUGGAUCCAUAACUAAAUCAACAUCUGCAUUUUGAAAGAGUAUUUUUGUAAAUCUUUAUUUUAACGAAAUGUGUUUAUUUGUUUAUUAGGAUACUGUGCAGUCCACAAUACAUACUGUUGUAAACAUGGGAAAGUGCCUAAUUCCUUACAUAUGGGAGAGCAGGCCAUGUCUGUAAUACAGAAUGCAGGGCAUGCGGGAGGCCAGUAUUAUUUCAAAGUUUUGAUGUCUUCACUAUUAUUCUACAAUGUAGAAAACAAAUAAAUAUCCUGGAAUGAGUAGGUGUGUCCAAACUUUUGACUGGUACUUGCUUUUAAUUUAAUUAAUGUUAUGGUGUUUCUACUCCAUGAAAAAUCCUCUGUUUUUCCGUUUGGUAGAACAGAAAAUAUAGCGCUGUACAACGUGACGCUCAUAAAUUCAGAGCAUUGUCAGUUUGUAAAUUCAGACCGUUAUUAUCUCGGAGCGCACACUGGACGUUCGGGCCGAGGUGUAGGGUUGAUUUGAGCGUUCUGGCCUUACAACGGCCAUAACGCUGGAUAGCUACUGCCAGACACAAAUGAGACCACUCUGACCAUUUUACUCGCCCUUGCAGAGCUGCUAAGGCAGUGUUUGUGUUAACCAGAGCGUUGGUGACAGUAAAUGUGCUGCUGGAAACAAUUUAAUUACGCGUUUUUUCCUACAUUUACUGACACCGGCCAUAUUCAACGGGUGUUGAGCGCUCGUAAAGUAAUUAUUCUGCACUCUGGUACACUGACCAGAGUGCUCUGAAAUCCGUGUAGAUAAUAGGCUGGACACAUGAAAUUUUUAACGUUAUUUUCUGAUUUAAAAAAAAAACUAGUUAAUUGCAUCCGCCAUGGAGCCCAGUUUCAUAAUAUGACCAUAUUUCCCAGCUGCUUGCUGUCGUUCGGAAGUAAUCGCAAAAAAAACAGACUUUAGUGCAUUUUUCAACCUGUCGGCUCCUAUUAGUUCUAUAUUGAGCACCGUGGCACCAACUCGCCUUCCGAACGUCCUAUUCCCAGUUUAUUGUUGAACGUCACAAUGCCUGCUUCGCUAUUGAUG